rnacentral:lncRNA from 1 species
UCAUCAACUUCUCUAUCCAGAAUAAGGUAAUCCAGUUAAUUGCAUUAUCUAAUAUAGAGCUGUAAUCGGAAUGUGCAUGAUAAAGCAGAGAUCGAUUUUGGUUGAGUUUUUUUUGUCUUGGUGGACUUGAUUGAAAUCUUGUUGUUUAUGGUGCAAAAUUAUCUUUUCUUAGUUUCUUCUGUUUUAUGUUAUAGAUUGAUCUUGAGAAGGGAAUGAUGGACUGUUUGUACGCAAAAUGUGAGUUACUUAAACUAUGUUUAGUUUACAGUUAUGCAAUAUUCUUUCUCUUUGUUAACCAUUCAAUCGUUUCGGAUUUGAAGGCACUCCUUGUAUCACGGACUGUGUCAUGGCUGAGCUGGAGAAGUUAGGUCAGAAGUAUCGUGUAGCUCAGUAGCUCUAAGGUGAAAGCUUUUGUUAGACUUCAAAGUAGGAUUUUUCAGUAGAAUUGCAUCAUUUUUGUUGAUUCUUAAUUGGUUACUUUUAAAUUUGGUUAGGAUUGCAAAGGAUCCACGAUUUGAAAGACUACCUUGUGUACACAAAGGGACAUAUGCUGAUGAUUGUCUCGUUGACAGAGUUACUCAGAUAAUGCCUCAGCUCCGGUUUUGUUUACCUUUGUGUCCUGUUUCUCUAAGAAGAUGCUCUGUUUAUGCAUGUAGUCUAAUCUUCUGUUUGUUUCUUUCCUCUGUAAUUUAUCAGCAUAAAUGCUUCAUAGUAGCUACUUGUGAUAGAGAUCUAAAGCGAAGGAUUCGCAAGGUAAAGAUAUUAGUUUGAUAUAUAUGCUUUUUUAAACCCAUGGCUGGAAUCCUUGGAUGUUAACUUUCUUAUUGUUCGUUUAUAGAUUCCUGGUGUACCAAUCAUGUAUGCAACACGACGCAAGUACUCAAUAGAGAAGCUGCCUAAAGCAACAAUCGGUGGAGGUAUGCAUUGUAUCAUCUCUUCUACAGUGAUAUUUGAACAUAAGGUUACUUGGUAUUAGCUUAUUUGAAUUCACUUUUGUGGUUUUUUUUUAUGGUGCAGCUCCAAUAUACUGAUAUAGGAAACGGAACCUAUGUUGAUUCCAAGAAUUUUGAGAAGCCUAAGUUAGUGUUGGUUUAAGCUGCGAAUCAAAUGAGUAAGAAAGGUUGUGUUAUGUGAUAUUGAGCCAUUUGUGUUCAAUCUCUGGCGAAAUCUGUCUGUUUGAUAUUGUUAUUGUACUUCUAAGCAUUUAAGUCCAUUAUUUUCUCAAGCUCUUGCAGAAUCUUGUUGACUUGGUUGUAAAUUGGCGUGAAAAAUUAAGAUAACAUGCGUGCAAUCAUUAUAAGAUCAACAAAAGAUAAAAACUAAACAUCAUUGUCAACAAUUACCAUAAGGGCGAAAGAUCUUGGACAAAUCACUUACAUCUACUUCAUUUUACCAAAAUAAGAGCUAAACAGCAUCGUCAACAAUAACCAUAAGGGCUAAAGAUCUUUGACAGAUUACUUUAUUUUACAUCUACUUUAUUUUACCAAAAUAGGAGCUUAGAGGUCACUCGUUUUUUUUUUCACUGAAAUGAUUAUAUCUAUACUAUUAAUUGGGAAACAUUGGAUAAUAAAUAACCUUAUAAAGUGUAAAUAAUUACAAAGGAUGCCAUUGAGAUUUUUGCAUUUUAAGACAAUUAAAAAGAUUUCGUCGGAGGGUAAAAUGGCCAAUUUGAUGCUCACUUCAACGCGGAUCUUGGAUUUCGGGCCGGAUCUAGAUCCAUAGUGAUUUGGUAAAACACGCGGAUCCUGAAACGUGGGGAUUUGGAUCAAUAAUAAUUGCGAGUGUCAUCUUAAUGGGCUUAGGAGAUAAAGGUCUUUCUUAUGCUCGCAAACUUAUGUUUGAGAUCUGCAGAAAUAUGAAGUUUGAACAAAUUAGAUUCAAUAACUUAAAAUAUAUUUCUAUAAUAAGCAAAUUCCAUAUAUUGUGAUUAGUAAAUAAGAACAAAUCUCUUUAUAUUCGAAUCCAGUUAUUACUUUUUUUACCAAAAAUAUCAAAAUCAAUAAAUUCAAAUUUGAUUUAAUCACUUAAACGGUUUUUCGUUACCAAAAAUAUCAAAAUCUUUUAAUUCAAAUCGGAACAACUGACGCAUAUACCUUAACAAUCUUUAUUCGCAAAUAUUCUCUUUGAUAUGAUUUUCUAAACCCUAAAAAAUAUGUAGCCGACUUUGAAUUACUAUAAAUAUAGGAUGUGAAAUGCCGUAGAAGAUACUCACUCACCUUUUAAAGCGAGAACUCUUCUCUUCCUGUUCCUUCAAAGAAUAUGGCAGCACAGCUUGCAUCGACCGAUCUUGCUAACAUCAAACCUUUCAAAACAGGAUGGAGAAUCCAAGUUAAAAUCAUGCAUAUGUGGUCUCAAUACACACAAUACACUGAGAAAACAAUGGAAAUGAUUCACUCUUAUACAUAUGUAAGUAUAGAUUCGAUUUUCACUAAAUCUUAUACUCUUUACAGUCUUAUAAUUAUCAUUAAAAGAUCCUAUUAUUAACACGAUUUUAUUCUCUUCAAUAUAGGGUACUUUGAUUCAUACUACUAUUAAGAAACAACAAGUGAACAUGCUUCAUAGGUUCAUCAAAUCUGGAGUGCAGUAUUGUGGAAAAUUUUAUACUUACAGGGCAAUCAAACAUGUGUUUAAAAUGUAUAACAUAAUGCUGAGCAACUCGAUGUGCAACAAAACGCAUGUACGAUGUUGGAAAAGGCAGGAAUUCUAACUGAAGUUGCUCAGGGUUUUGAAAGAACUUCUGUAUAUCAAUCUCCAUCCACAAAACUAAAAGUUACACCAACCAACAAAAAAAACAACUUUUUUAUCACCAUCAACCACAUUUUAAGAGAAUCUUUUGUAGAUAGAAAAAUUAAAAUUCAACAUAAAAAGAAAGUGUUGAAACUAGAGGAUAAGAGACUUAUAAAUAUGCAAACGAGCUUAGAGAGGAUCACAUCAGCCAAACGGUUAUGCAAAUAAGAGUGAUUUGAAUACUCAAGCUUCAAUGUUCAUGUUGCCUAUGAAACAAUCGUGAUCAUGAGGAUUCUGAUUGAGCUAAAAAUACAAGUGACUAUGAUUUGGGUCAUAGAGCAAUCAAGAGGAUUGUUAAUAGUCAUGGAUCUAAUCAAACCCUAAUCACCAAAGCAUAAACCAUAGAAUUGAACCAAACACCCCAAAAAAUGAUCGAGGAUUAGAGAAACUAAUAAUUGUCCCCCCCCCCCCCCAAUUCUAUGAAACCCUAGCACACUACCACGAAAGGGAAAUGACCAAAAUCAGAUCAAACCAAAAAGAGAGAAAGCAAAAUCGAAUCGUGGGUAAGAAAGAAAAUUGACUAAACUGGUGAGACGAUGGCGAGGAUUCUGAAGAGCCUCGACCAAAAAAGGAUCUACCAUAGCUUCCUUCUCGGUCAUAGCAGCCAUAGAUGAAGAAAAGAUUUGUAUCUCUUACCUCUGCUAUGUCUUAUAAAUCCUUUGUUCUAUAUCUUUGAUUUUCUUGUCUCCCUUCACCAGAGAUUAGAAGAGAAAACACAUCAACGAAACAAAGGGGAGAUAAUUUCUGAUGAGCUUUCUGUGAGAGAAAGAAUAAAAAUAAAGUUGCUUCCUUUGAGUUUUUUUUUUUUUUUUUUUUUUUUUUUUUAAUUCAUUCAUUAGUCUGUGUGUUGUGUUUUUUGUAGGUUAAGUGGGUUUUGUAAAGUUGAUUUGGUUGAAUCAUAAAGUGUAAAAGUUUUACUCUAUUUUAUACUUUUGGUUGGUGUCCCAUUUCAUUUUUCCAAGGUGCAUCGUUAUGUACAAUUUUGUCAAACAAUAUCAAUGCACCGAAAAACAAAGUAUCUACAAUUAGUGUGGAAAAUGUUGCAGUGUCAUAUUAGAAGUAAGAUCGAACCUUACGUAAUAUACUUAAUAAUCUUAAAUUCAUGAUAUUAUAUUGUCUAAAGUCUAAACUAAAGCUACUAAUUCAUGGUUUUAGAUUCAGUUCAAGUGUGAUUUACUAUGUUUUGUGGUUUGCGGUCAAUUCUCUCUGAUUAUUUUUCAUUAGUAAAUUUCCAAAUGAGACACAUGACAUCUAUAUAAUCAAUCCAUUGGAAAUUUAGAAUGCCAAUCCUUUAGUAAUAAGAUACCAAAGAUUUUGUUGAUUCUAUAUAGGCUGAAUAUUUUUUUAGCCAACCAGGGGUUUAAAAUUCUUUAUUUGCUAUAAGACAAGAGUUGUUAAAACAUUUAUCUGUCCAAAUAAAAAUAAAAUAAAAUUCAGUAAUAUAUUUAAUACAAAAAAUAUAUCAAAUAGAGAAAAUGUGUUCAAGAGUCUUAGGAAUUGGGUCUAUAUGUAUUUCAGCCCAAACAUAAUUUUAUAAACAAUAAUAUUGCAUUACUAAAUAAAUAAUUUUAGUCAUUUUAAAAUAAAAUAUUCUGAAAAAACAAAAUUUCUGUUAUAACAAUUACAGGCCUGAAAUCUGCAAUUGUCCAAAUUAUUUAUCAUUCACCAAUACCAAAUUAUUAAUUUAUAUAAAACACUUAGAAUGAUGUAAAUAAAAAUCUUUUAUUUACUUAUCUUUGUAUUCAAAAUUUAUAACUAAUCAAACUGAAAACGUUUGUGCACCAGAGUUUAUUUAAAACUCAUAAUAUAAUUUUGCAAUCAAUUUUCUAAUAUCUAUAGUCUACAUUAUUAUUUAAUUAUUAUUUUAUUUUGAUACUAGGAGAUUCUGGGCCAAAACCCGUAAUCUUCCAGACCCGAAACCACAUCAUGUAAUAUUAGUUUUUUUUUUUGAAUAUCUAUAGUCUACACUAUUAUCUAUUAUCUAAUUCACUACAAAACAAAAAACAAUUUCUUUAAAUACUACUUAAAAAACUAAAUUGAAUAUAAAUUUUAUAUAACAUAUUUCUUAAAAUAUGAAACCCCGCACGUACGUGCGGAUCAGGAUCUAGUUGAUGAUUAGAAAAGCAUGUGGUGGGUCAUUUAGGGUUUAGGCAAAAAUAUAAAGAUUUUUAGGGUUUAGGCAAAAAUAUAAAGAUUUUUUAGGGUUUAGGGAUGAGCAUGUGGUGGGUCAUUUAGGGUUUAGGCAAAAAAAUUCCGUGUAAAAGCCCAAAGAUCUGAUCAUACGGCCAAGAUUAAUUCUGUUUUUUUUUUUUCUCAAUCUAACUGACAGAAUCUUUUUUUCCAACUUAAAUAAUUAAUAUACAAAGACAAAACAAUAAUUGCUCAGUCUAGAUGGCCUCACAUCAGUUUAUAUAUAUCUUUAUAUAUAUAUAUAAAGAUAAUAAUACAAAAGUCAUCAUGAUUAAUUUAGUUAGUCCUCGAAAACCAAAACUCGCUUGUUCUUUUUUUUUUUAUCUGAUUGACAAGAAAAUAACUUUUGUUAUAGCCUUAUAGGUGUGAGAGGAACUGAGGAAGAUUCAUUCUACAUCAAUCAAUAAUUAUUUAAACUUUUGUUAUUUAUAUUAAUUAUUUAAACUUUUGUUAUUAAUAUUAAUUAUUUAAACUCUUACUAUUUAGUAUUUACAAACAUAUAUGACUUCUCUUCUGCUAGAGCUCGCACUCCCUCCUUGUCCAAAUCGAUGCAUGUAUACUUUUCUAAUCUUUGUAUAAUUAGUGAGUUUAUUAGUUAAGAAAAAUAAGCUACGUAAAUAAUUAGAAAAAUUCACAUUUGAAUCUUACUUUCUAGCUAGUUAGAUGAUACAAACUAGAAGAUUCAUAGAAAAAUGUAAGGUAAGUAAGGGAAUUGGCGUAACACAUGGGAUCAGGAGGGACAUUGCUAUUAAACUCAAUAUUUAGUAACUUCUAAUCACCCAAACUUCAAUAACAUAAGAUGAGACUGAAGGAACUAAUCCAAGACCAGAAGAAUAGUGACCUAUGUUUCCAUGCCUAACGUACGUACUCGUGAAGAAACAAAUAAAGCGUCAGAAAUGAUAUAAGUCGAAUAGUUUGCAAAUUGCAACUAUUCAAACACACGCACACACACGUAUUAGGGAGAUAACUCCAGGAUCCAUGCAGUAGUCAGUUAUCAGCAAAACAUUUUGAGUAUAUUUGCCUAAUGAAAUAAACCUUAUGGUAAUAAGUAUUUUGGAUGUUUCCUUGGUUUACCCGAAGUUAUAAUUAAUUUUCUCCUUCUAGCUCUUUGUUUCUUUUUUAUAUAAAUCCAACUUAACAAUCUAUUGACUCAAAUACACAAUUGUCAAUUGGUGUUCAACACUACCAAGAAACAUCUAUAUGUAUACUUCACUGUUACCUACCUCAAUUCAUGUCAUUAAAAAAAAAACAAGAGAAAAAGUGUUUUAAAAUUUCAAUAAAUCAACAGAGAAGCAAAGGCAAAGUUGAUAGCUUGGGGAAGGUCAGUGGUGUUUCACUUGUAUGGCUAACCAAUUUUUACGGUCAGAAGAAGUUGAUAACCAAUUACUGUUAUUUUUUUUUUGUGGUCACUGUUAAUUACAAGUAUGUACAGUGUACGUGAUAACAUAGGACUCGACAUUGAGUAGUGGAUGUCCAAUCAGACCAAUGAGAAAUCGAAAACACAUCCUAGAAACCAACUCUGGUUGGAGUAUUUCCUUGCCCAAAACCAGGUUUUAGCUUUCUUUUAAGAAGUGACAUUGUCUUGUUUCUUACUUUAUUUAAACAACGUAUAAUAAUAAAGGCAAGAAAACUUAUUAGAGCAUGUGCAGUGGGGCAAGCAGGUGGGUGUGAGUCUUGGGGUGUAGGUAUUAAAAAAACGAAAAAAUUGUCUCUCUCUUCACAUCCGGGUGUAAGUUUACACUCGGGUGUAACACUUUUUUUCUCUAUCUCUCUCUUUCUUUCUCUUUCUCUUUUCUCUUCUACUUUAAAUUAUAAUACUAAAAAAAUAUUUACAUUCACACAAACACAUUUGCAACUGCUGCUGAUGGUCUUAUUAUAUAUUCAUCAAGGACAACCAAAUAAAUCACAGAGAAAGAAAAAAAAAGUGGGUUUGAAGAGAUAAUCAACUAGGGAACCAAAUCCUAUGGAAAAACUCAUACUUAAAAGAACAAAUUCGAAGCAUAAAUUUGAAACCCUAGACCAACACAAACGUUUUUAUGUCCCUAUAUAUGCAUAUUUAGUUUCGCCUUUCACAAUUAUUUGAUGACCGAGCUAGUUUUAUAUACCCAGAAUCUGAUCGAUUAAGUAGUACAUCUCCCAUUUACGUUCUCGAUGGCUUUAUUUUUCAAAAGCUUUCCGCAUUUUUUUUUUUAGUUAAUAGGCUUUACAGAAACGAAACACAGUUACAAAAAAGGGAAACAAAGACCUAAUCUUCACCGGCGGCGAGGCUCUGUACCUGCUGAAAGACCUGACGCAUCGGAGUAUAAAGCAAUUCCGGCGAAAGCAAAACCAACGACAUUGCGGUAGAGACUCCGGAGAGGAACAAUGGCCAAAAGCUUUCGGAUUUCAGCGCCGGAUCCUCGCCAUCGUCACACCGAACCCGUCACGGAUCUUCCGGUCUGCUCAACACCUCAGACGACAGGCUCUACCAAUGUAUGUCCCAAACCUAGUAACCAUACACACUGGGAACUAACCCCUCCCCGCCAGAUCCGAACAUCGCUGAGAACCCCGAACAAGUAGACCAGCUUUCCGUCAUUGCAUAUAUAUAAUGUACAAAGCUAUUAAUUAAUCUGGGAAGAAAAUGAAAAAUUGGUAGGAUAUCUUUAGCUCACGUAUAUCUGAACGCAUAUUUAUUAUUCUUUUUUUUUUUUGACGUCUAGAUUUAUUAUUUAUUGCAAAUUAUGAGAACUGUUACAUAGACGAUUCUACAACGGACAAUUCCUUCCGACCCUUAUUAGAUCCACGACAGACGACACUUCUUUCUCCAUGCUCUUGACGGACACCUUCAAUGAUCCACGACCUAACGACACUUCUCUCUCUGCAUAGAAUCCUGGCGAACGGACACCUUCAAUGAUCCACGACCUAACGACACUUCUCUCUCUGCGUAGAAUCCUGGCGAACGGCUAUAAUUGUACUUCGCUGGAGAUUUCCUGCACACUUGUCUCAUUUAAUCUGCAAAUUUAUUAAUAAAUCGCAAUAUCUGGGACUCGAACCCCAGACCUCUUGGUGUAGAAGCAUUAAUUAACCCUUGGUCAACCAAUGGGCCAAGGGGGCUUCCACCGCAUAUUUAUUAUUCAGAUCCUAAAAGCAAGGGAAUAAAUUAAAAUAAAAAAAAAUUAAAAAAAAAUUUGGUUUUGACAGGCUGAUAUUACUUUUUUUUUUUUUUUUUUUGCCAAACGAUAUUACGUAAUCAUUGUUUAGUGCGCGAAAGCAAGAAUCUCUAGAGCUCGCUUUUUAAUUUAGCCUCUCGUUGUGCUUUAUCCCCAUUUAAGUAAAAAAUAUUGAUAAGUUGUCUCGAAACAAGCGAAAAUCUUAUUUAGUUAUUGAUAUAUAUAUUGAUAAGACGCAGUCAUCACCAUGACGGGCCCUAGGUCGAAAUUGACAAGGCAAGCAUGACUUUUCUUCUCCACACUAGCUAGAGAAAUGCCAGCACUGAACCAUGCAUCAAGUGGUAUCUAACGACUAGCUAGGGGACUUUUAACGUACUUUUAAUGGGCGCGGUUAUAUUUUCUCAGUAAUUAUCUGAUUCUUCUAGCUAAUCAUAUUCAAAAUUGCCAAGCAAGAAAUAUUUUUCAGUUAUACAUGUCACUAAUUAAUCUCCCAUGGCGAUCCAAGAGUCUAGUUAGGCAAUUACAUGGAGUGUCUGAGACCACGAAACAAAUAGUGAGAUUUAUGACGGAUUCUUACGUACUAUCGUGUCAUUGUUCUAUAUAUGACAUGUACAGACAUGUUCAUGAUCUUUUUGUUUCUCAAACGUUUCUUGGACUUGACAAUUCUACACAUUAAUGUACUAUUGUGUCAUAUUUAGUUCUAUCUCGCAGACACUCGAAAGACGCGCGUAUGAAAAGACGAAUUAUUAGGAAUUAAAAAUUUAAAUCUCACGUUGGUUAUUACAAUUCUAAUUGUUUUACGUAUUAAUAAUAUCGUGACAUUUCUAUGAUCUGUUUGUUUGUUUCUUUUUCCCCUUACAAAUCUCUUGUACAAUUGGCAAUUAACACAACCUAAAGCAUAACUUUGGCUUGCUUUUGUUUAUCGACAUUAAAUUAUAGUCUUGUUUCUUUUGUUUGGGUUGUGUCAUUAUGUGACGUGAACAAAUAAUAAUAAUAUCGAGGCUUUAAAGUUUUUAAUUAGGAAACUAAUCCUUUUAUUAAAGCUGAAAAAGGUAGAAUUUAAUAUACAAUCAUAAUUUCCAAAUGGAUAGUGAGAAUAUUUACUAACCGACUCAAAACUACAACUUCCAUUAAUAUUUUGACUCAAUCCCACAUUUCCUGUUCUUAUAUAAUCAACUUUCUGAUAAUAAAAAAAAACUUGAUUAUAUAUGACAAAAAAAACUUUCUGAUAAAGAUAAAUGCAAACAAACUAAAUUCUUUUGGCCGCGUAUUAUAAAUCCCACACUUCCUAAAUUGUGUAGUAGUCUCCUACUGAUCUUUUGUUAUCUUAAGGUGAGAUCAUUGAAGUAAAAGUGAAUGAUCAAGGCGUUGUAGGAGAAUGUCUGAUAACCUUGGAUACUUUUGGAGUAGGAGAAGCAGGGAUUGUCAGUAUUCAGUGGGAUAAUCCAACUCUUGUAAUAGCUUAGUAGGCUGUCAUGCUUGUGGGUCACGACGAGUCGACGAACCUUUGUUGUUUCAAUAGAAAAUGAUCACUUUGGGAAAAAAAUAAAAAAUAAGAUACAAUCAUUAUUGUUAUAUGAACUUUCUAGCCAUAUUUGUUUUGUUUUCCACGGUGACCAGAUCGUGACACAUGAAGUGUUUAUUUGCAUAGCCAAUAUGCUACAUAUACUUCGUAAAAGUCAAAGAAAUGUUAUUAAAUAAUACCUUGAUACCUUACAACUAUUUUAAAAAAAAAAUGUAUUAAGAUGAUUUGCUACCAAGUUGUAUAACUAAAUAGAGAGUGAAGAGAGACGACUAAUACAACUGGAAAUAUAUAAGGUACAAAGUUAUUACUAUAAAAGAGAGAGAGAGAGAGAGAGAAUCACUUAAUCCACUUUUCAAAAUAACAUGUGUAAACUCAGUCACCUAGUGGUGUAAAAAAUCGUGUGGGAUUGUAAAUUUUGGAAUUCAAAUUCGAAACAAACAAGAACAAAGAAAAUAUUAAGUCUUCACGGCUUCACGCCACCAUUCACUAAAAUAAUUUUUUUUUUUUAAAGACAGCAACGUACGUACCUUGAAAAGAAAUAAUAUGCAGAAUGAAAACAAGCAAUUCAAAACAACAAAGAAGAUAUUAAUCGUGUUCACACUAGAUAGUCAUUUUUUUAAGUCACCAACUCCCCUUUGAUUCUUCCUAUCAGGGUGUAAAUGGAAGUGGAUCAGCAGCAAAAAACCAGUCACCAUGUGUCCGUCGCCUCUCCAAUUCUUCAAAAGUUGAAUCGGUGAAGUCGUUCUCGAUGUGAAGAGUAGCACGCAUCUCAGAGACCUUUUUGCUGUUGAUAUUCUUCACAACAGUCGAUGCUAUCAAAUCAACAAGGAUGCGGAUAUUCAAGUACAGAGCGGCCUAAAAGAGAUGAUUCAACAAAUUAUCGAUAUGAAAAGGAAAAGACACAAAUUUGGGAAACCAAAUGGAGGGAACAGACCUCGCCAAGAUCCAAGAGGCUCUUGGAAUCAUCCUCCUUUUUUAAGAAAACUUCAGCAAACCAUUUCUCGGAAGGAUUGGUUGCUUUGGCGUGCAACGUGCAGAAUCUGGUGAUCCUUCUGAAGAUUGCCAUUGUGAAAGGAACCUUAAACUUCACGGGAGAUCCCGCCUCAACUUGCUCACUUUUAAGGAGUAGAGUGGCUCUGAGAUACCCACUCAAAGCAAUUACCUCUUUGUUGGGCGAACAAGUCUUUUUAUCGGACGUUGUAAAUUCUAUACCCCUGGACCCGGUUUCCGGAAGAGGGAGACACCUACGCGCUUGAAUGUCACUGGCCAAAGGAGAACACGCCUUGGAAGCUAAGGCAAAACCCAUAUAGCUCUGAUCGUCAAGCUUGGGGAUCAAGCGCUGAAAUAGAAAUGGCAACGCAAUCAAUAUUGGAAAGAUGUGAAGCCAUCCGCCGCAGGAAGAUUAUAGCCAUGCCCAUUGUAAUUUUAAUUUGUACCUCAAGGAAAGGCUUAAUUUGUUUCAGGUGCUUCUUGUUACGAAGCUUCACCUCCGCCCUUUUCUCGUUACGAGCCACUUUGGCAUCGUUACGAGCCUUUUUAGCAAGGUUUUCUUCCUUUGCUUUGGCUUUCUGCAAAUUUAAAAUAGUAAAUCAGGAGUAAAUUCCUUAAUAAUCUUGUAAAGAGAAACAAAACAAAUUCAUAAUAGCAUUAGAAUUGCCUGUAGGUCGCUUCGAUAUGUCUCGGCCAUUAAUUCCGGAAUUCCUCCUUUCUUAAUAUUCUGUUCUGAAUGAUCGUGAAUAAGAUCAAAGAAUAUACUGUUCUUCAUCCCCAUCCUUCUGAUCAGAGCACUUAGGUGUAGAAAUCGAAGGUACUCCGAAGCCUACACACCACAUAGGUGUACAAAUCCAUGAAAUUUGAGCAAUAACCCGAUAAUAUAGCAGAAAGCAAAAAAAUGUAAUCCAAAACCUAAGAGUGUCCUAUAAAUGAAAAUCCGAUAAGCACAUACCUUGUAAAGGUCGAAGAGCUUCUUAGGAUCUUCUUCUUCUUUGCUGAAUUCCUCGCGGAUCCACUUCUCAUCCUCAGUGGAGAAGGGUUUGUCGGGAUCAGAUUCGGGUUGAUAGUUGCGCUUCACGCAAUAGGUAACAAGCUUCCUCAUGAUUUCACUAGAGACAUCCAGAGUACAAAAGAUUUUGGAAUCGGAUGAUUUCUUAACAAUUUCUGAAAUCUUUCUGGAUACUUUAGCUAGUGAACAAGGAUCAAGGAUUUCAACAACUGAGUCAUUGCAAGUUAUGUUUACUUUUGCAGACUCUCCUCCAGUCAUGAUAGAUGAUUCUACAGGGAGAGAAAAACCUAACAGAGAAAGGAAAAAAUCAAAGCGGAGAGAUUAUUAGGUUAAAAUCGCGACCUAAUAAACGUAGAGAGUCGAGAGGAUCAUAUUUGUUUACAGAAGAAAAUGGAAGAUCGUUACUUAGGGACGAAGAUCGUUAGGGUUUGAGAUAGAUAUAGAAAGACGAGCGAGGAAGUGAAAGGCGCUUUUGAUUUGCAGGUCGAGUCAGACACAGUACAUAUAAGAGAAGAGUGAGAAGAGAAAGACCUAGGUUUUUCGACUCUUUCUAUCUCUUUCCGUUUUCCGUACGCCAGCUGAAACCCAGGCCCAUUAUGUUACUUCUAAGCCCAUCAUAAAAGGUAUUUUCUUUCUUUUUUUCCUUUUUACUGUUCCUUUCCCUUAUUUAGUUCAUGUGUAUUUAUUCUUGGGUUUUUACCUUGUAGAAAACAAUAUUCCAUAAACAUACACUAUAAUAAUUGUUUUAUCUAUUUCUACCUUAAUUAAUUUUAUCUUCUAUUUAAAUACAUAAAUUUCUAUUUUCUACCCUACACUUUUUUUUUUAUCUUUCAACAAAAAAAAAUCGUUUAAUGUCGGUUUUCAGAUCGUUAAAAAUAUCCGCUUAAUUUUUUUAACACACACAUUUUUAAAUUACAAAAACCAAUUUGAUGAUACCAAAAUAAAAUACACAUCAAUUAAAUAGGAAAACUAACCGGAAAAAAAAGUUAGAUAUACUAAUUUGCCUAUGUAUUUCUAAAAAGGUUGGAUUUUUUUUGCUAAUCUAGAAAGAGAAAAAAAAAACACACACACACACACAAUAUUAAUAUGUACAUGUUUAUAUCUAAUACUUUUUAAAUUUCUUUUCACUCACCAAUUUUUUUUUUUUAAAGUGAAGCAGAAAAACAAAUUUCUUACAAAUUAAUAUGGAAAUAUGGAAAGGGAGACUCACAAAAAUGCCCCUUUUUCAAUACCCAUUUUCAAAAAUGCCUCAUUUGGCUGUUCAUUUUUAAAAAUACCUCUUUUUAUGUACAAAAUGACUAAAUUACCCUUCUUUUAAUAAAAGAUAUCACAAAUAUAUAAGAAAAUAUAACAAAAUUAGCUCUACAAAAUACAAAAUAUUUUUUGGCGGGAAAAGUGAUCCCGCAAUUUUUCCCACCAAAACACUUGUAAAACCUUUAAAAUACCUUGUAAAAUUUUCCCGUAAAAUUUUUGCCCGCCAAAAUUUUUUUUUGCGGGAAAAGUGAUUCCACAAUUUUUUUGGCGAAAAUAAUUUACAAGGUAUUUUAAAGGUUUUUUACAGGAUAUUUAUAAGGUUUUACAAUGUAUUUUAAAAGGUUUUACAACGUAUUUAUAAGGUAUUUAUAAGAUAUUAUAAGAUUUUAUAAGCUAUUUUAUAAGGUUUUACAAGUUAUAAGGUUUUACAAGUUUUUUAGGUUUUACAAGUUAUAAAUAUCUUAUAAAACCUUAUAAGUAUAUUGUAAAACCUUUUAAAAUACAUUGUAAAACCUUACAAAACACUUGUAAAUACUAUGUAAAACCUUUAAAAUACCUUGUAAAUUUUUCCCGCCAAAAAAAUUGCGGAAUCACUUUUUCCGCAAAAAAAAUUUUUGGCGGGAAAAAUUUUACAAGGUAUUUUAAAGGUUUUUACAAGUGUUUUGGCGGGAAAAAUUGCGGGAUCAAUUUUCCCGCCAAAAAAUAUUUUGUAUUUUGUGGACCUAAUUUGUUCAAAAAGGGUAAAAUGGUCAUUAAAAAUUUAAAAAAGACAAACUUAAAAAUGGACUCUCAAAUGAAGCAUUUUUGAAAAGGGAUAUUGAAAAAUGGGCAUUUUUAACAAUUUCUCAUAUGGAAAUGCUUUGUUUUUUUUAUUUAUGGAAGAGCACAAAAGCAGAGCACACGUAUUGUUGCUAUUUCCUCCGAUCCGAGCUAGCUUAUUUCACUAAAUCAGAAUUUGACUAUUUGGUGCUCAGAACCUGGGAUUUUGUCCCGGUGAAAACAGGAUUUUGCAGAUAAUGAAGGAAACAAACCAUGAUUUAAUGUCUCAAACUAUUUUACACUGUUAAUUAACAACAAUCUCUCACACUCAAAAUCUGUCUAGCAUUCUGAGUUUUUACUAGACACACCAAUCAACCUUUGUGUUCGUUAAAGGCUUUGUUGAAUAAUUCUUAUCUUCAUAACUUCAUUCACGGGAAGCAGCACUUCAAUCUCUGUCAAGACACAAGGGACCAUGAUUGUUUUGAUUUUUUUUUAAUACAAAAUGUGGAGCUUUAUCAUCGAAACGUUAUCUAUAGACAUUUCAGUCACCUGUCUUUCGACCUCCACAACAGAUGCUUGAAGCCUUCUUUUCAGGACAGAUCUCUCUUCUUCACAGCUCUCCAUUUUAGUGUCUGAGAAACAAGAUUAUACGAACUAAACCUGUGAAUUCUCCAUGUAAAUGGAUCUCUGCUUGUUUGAUUAAGAGUACUAAUACAGAUUCUUAGUUGUCAGCAUCAAAUUUUAGGGGAAGAACUUAUCAGAAAUAUUCACCGUCGUCAUAGUAUGUUGAUCUGCUCCGUUGGCUGCAAAAGAGAAGGUAAAAGAAUUACCAAAGCUGAAAAAAAUCUCGAGUGCUAUUUACAACGAUUAAAAACCCGGCCUUAGAAGGCUAGUUGUCUUGGAGACAUACCAUUAUGAAAAUCCCCUCUCGGCGAGUGGGAACUUCUUCUAGCUUCCUUGAUGUUUCAUCUCCUUUAGUAACUUUACCAAACGCAGCAUACCGUUGAAUACCGCCAGUCUUAUUACUAGUCUUCUUAAAAAUUGAGGAGCAUCACCAAGAAGCAUCAAAAAUGAAGAUUGUGCACUGUUUGGAUCAUCAUAUCUACACAGAGAGGCAAACAUCACCUUGAAAUGAUCUUCACCAUAAAGACACGAACACAAUAAAGGAGGGACAUUCAUAGAAAACGUAUAAACAAACCGAGCUACUCACAAAGAUCUAAAGAUACGUACAUUCCCAUGGAAAGAGUAUAUCUCACAUACUUAGUAUCACUGAGAUCUCAAAAUAUUGUCUUAUCAGCUUCGUUCCUGUGCUCAUCAGUCGGCACUGAAUUAGCAAUCUGACCUGGCGAUCAAGAUGAGGAUCAUUGCCAAGACGCAUCGAAAACGAAGAUUGUGCCAUAUCUACUGAACAAAAACAAAACCACGGAGAGGCAAAACGUCACCUAGCCAUAAUCUUCAUCAUAAAGACAUGAACACCAAAAAAAAGGGACAUCCAUAGAAAACAUAGAAACAAACCAAGCUACACAAGUUCGAAAAAUAUAUACCAUCCCAUGGAAAGAGUACCUCUCACAUGCUUGACAUCACUGAACUCUCCCACAAUUGUCUUUUAAGCUUCUUUCCUUUGCUCCUCAUUCAUUGGAGCUGAUCGUCCAUUCGCAACAAAACCUUUAUCAACCUGCAAAAUGACUCACACUCAAACCCUUCUUCCAAAAAAGUGGCUAAAGAUACAAAAUCAAAUCAAAGCUUGAGCCUUUAAGUCAUAUACCCUGAAGAAAUGAUUAGUGUUGUAGCCUCCUAAACGAACAAGCUUGAAGAUAUGGUCCACUGUCUUCGGUGCAGCAGUGGGAUAGAAACCGAUAUCUCCAUAACUAGUCUGCACAACCAUUAUCAUCCAUUCCACAUACCAUUAACAAAUUUCAAGUUCCUAGAACAUAAAUUUGUGUAGAAAGUGAAAGAAAACUGAAAUCGAUUUUACACAAAUUCAAAUUGAGAUUUUGAUCCUGAAGACUAUAAAUCAGAAAUUCACAAUGAAGUUUCUUUUAACCACAAUCAUAUCCAAUAUUGGCAUGAAAUAGCACUAGGGUUCAAAGUUAGCAGAGAAGAGGAGACGAGGGAUGAACCUGGAAGACGACACGAGCCGAACCAAGUUCUGGUUCAUGAGAUAGAGCUUUAACAAUGGAGACAAAGGCUAAACAAGCCAAACCCACGAUCAAGAUUCUCAUGUUUCCCAUUUGUGUUUAGAAGUUGGCGUCGAUCUGAUCAAAGAGAGUUUGAAGGCAACACCGGCAGAUAAAUUUGUUUUCUGUUCGUCGUGAAUCUUUUACCCGUCGAAGACGAUAACCGGGGAUCGUAGUGGGCCUAAUGUAUGCGUAAUUAUGGCCCAAUCUUAUUUUCUCGUACACCAUUGUUCUACUUACUAAGAUAACUAAUGUUACACNNNNNNNNNNNNNNNNNNNNNNNNNNNNNNNNNNNNNNNNNNNNNNNNNNNNNNNNNNNNNNNNNNNNNNNNNNNNNNNNNNNNNNNNNNNNNNNNNNNNUGCUCUCAAGUAAUCUUCCUAGUGUCAUGACCGGAAAGAAAAUAAGUUUGGGCCUUAAUUAAGCAAACAUUAGGCCCACUACGAUCCCCGGUUAUCGUCUUCGACGGGUAAAAUAAGUUUGACACCUUUCGGAAAAAUGGAAGAUGUAAACGGUUCCGAUCGAUUCUCCUUCGAGAUCAAACAGCCCUACGUUGAAGAACGGUUGGAUAACAACAAGAAACGGGAAGAGGUAGCUGUAGAUGCGGUGAGUUUCGUGGCGGAGACUGAAAAUGGGAAGGAGGAGGUCAAUUUUGUGCCGAAGAAGCUUAUAAUUGUUGUCACACCAACGUAUAAUCGAGCGAUGCAGGCGUAUUACUUGAACAGGAUUGCUCAAACGCUGAGACUUGUUGAGUCGCCUGUGCUGAAGAAUAUUAUUACGAAAAAAGGACAAUUGUUCCCGAAAGGCGUAGGCCUGUUAACGGAGCGGAUAUCCUGUUUUUUUAGGAUAUCCGUAUCCGUAUUAUCCGUGAUUUUAGUAUCCGUAUCC